GAAGUUUAGUAAUAGAAACAUUUGUAAAUUUAUAUUUCAUUGUCUACUUACAAAAUUUAAUGAGGAAGCUACUUAUUUCUUGUGUAUCACUGUCACUGUGAUUCACUUUGCUCUGUCUUAAUUGUUUAUUAAGAAGUCGACAAACAGCAGCUGGGAACAAAGUCAUGAAGUUCCAAAGAACCUUCUGAUGCCAGCUGAAAUCGAUGAACGAGUUAUUGCUGAGUUCAGAAGAUCCUGAAUCCUAAAAUGAUUUCAAAGACAAACAUUUGAGAAAUUAUGGAGACUGAGCAAAGAGGUAAGAGCAAUCUUA
rnacentral:lncRNA from 1 species